AGCAGCCGCGGUAAUUCCAGCUCCAAUAGCGUAUAUUAAAGUUGCUGCAGUUAAAAAGCUCGUAGUUGAAUUUCGGGACUAAUAUGUCGGUCGUGCCUCGGUACGUACUGGUUUAUUGGUUUCUCCUUUCUGAAGAACCAUGAUGUCAUUUAUUUGGUGUCGUGGGGAAUCAGGACUGUUACUUUGAAAAAUUAGAGUGUUUAAAGCAGGCUCACGCUUGAAUACAUUAGCAUGGAAUAAUGAAAUAGGACGUUUGAUUCUAUUUUGUUGGUUUCUAGGAUCGACGUAAUGAUUAAUAGGGAUAGUUGGGGGCAUUAGUAUUCAAUUGUCAGGGGUGAAAUUCUUGGAUUUAUUGAAGACUAACUACUGCGAAAGCAUUUGCCAAGGAUGUUUUCAUUAAUCAAGAACGAAAGUUAGGGGAUCGAAGACGAUCAGAUACCGUCGUAGUCUUAACCAUAAACUAUGCCGACUAGGGAUCGGAUGAUGUUAAUUUUUUAAUGACUCAUUCGGCGCCUUACGG
rnacentral:misc_RNA from 1 species